rnacentral:misc_RNA from 1 species
GGGUAUAAGAGACAGGUGAAUCAUCGAAUCUUUGAACGCACAUUGCGCCCCUUGGUAUUCCAUGGGGCAUGCCUGUUCGAGCGUCAUCUACACCCUCAAGCUCUGCUUGGUGUUGGGCGUCUGUCCCGCCUCUGCGCGCGGACUCGCCCCAAAUUCAUUGGCAGCGGUCCUUGCCUCCUCUCGCGCAGCACAAUUGCGUUUUGGGGAGCGCGGGUCGCGUCCACGAAGCAACAUUACCGUCUUUGACCUCGGAUCAGGUAGGGAUACCCGCUGAACUUAAGCAUAUCAAUAAGCGGAGGA